GGCGCCGUAGCCAAGUGGUAAGGCAAGGGUCUGCAAAACCCUUAUACGGCGGUUCAAUUCCGCCCGGCGCCUCAA
rnacentral:tRNA from 2 species